GGAUGACUAGCUCAACGGUAGAGCAUCGGACUCUUAAUCCGCUGGUUCUGGGUUCGAGUCCCAGGUCAUCCA
rnacentral:tRNA from 1 species